rnacentral:rRNA from 1 species
UACGUAGGUGACUAGCGUUGUCCGGAUUUACUGGGCGUAAAGAGCGCGCAGGCGGUCGUUCAAGUCGAGUGUGAAAGCCCCCGGCUCAACUGGGGAGGGUCACGCGAUACUGAUCGACUCGAAGGCAGGAGAGGGUAGUGGAAUUCCCGGUGUAGUGGUGAAAUGCGUAGAUAUCGGGAGGAACACCAGUGGCGAAGGCGACUACCUGGCCUGUUCUUGACGCUGAGGCGCGAAAGCUAGGGGAGCAAACAGG